UCCUACGGGGGGCUGCAGUAAGGAAUAUUGGACAAUGGGCGGAAGCCUGAUCCAGCCAUGCCGCGUGAAGGAUGAAGGCGCUCAGCGUUGUAAACUUCUUUUGGAUGGGAACAAUAAUCGAGACUUGUCUUGACUUGAGGGUACCAUCAGAAUAAGCACCGGCUAACUCCGUGCCAGCAGCCGCGGUAAUACGGAGGGUGCAAGCGUUAUCCGGAAUCACUGGGUUUAAAGGGUGCGUAGGCGGUCUAAUAAGUCAGUCGUGAAAUCGCUGGGCUUAACCCAUGCAAUUGCGAUUGAUACUGUUAGACUUGAAUGGGGUUGAGGCUGGCGGAAUGCGACAUGUAGCGGUGAAAUGCUUAGAUAUGUCGCAGAACACCGAUUGCGAAGGCAGCCAGCUGGGCCUUUAUUGACGCUGAGGCACGAAAGCGUGGGGAGCAAACAGGAUUAGAUACCCGGGUAGUCG
rnacentral:rRNA from 1 species